AGGUUACUGCUAUCGGUGUUCGCCUAAGCCAUGCGAGUCAUAUGUUCGUAAGAACAUGGCGUACUGCUCAGUAACACGUGGAUAACCUGCCCUUGGGUCCGGCAUAACCCCGGGAAACUGGGGAUAAUUCCGGAUAACGCACAUAUGCUGGAAUGCUUUUUGCGUAAAAUGGAUUCGUCUGCCCAAGGAUGGGUCUGCGGCCUAUCAGGUAGUAGUGGGUGUAAUGUACCUACUAGCCUACGACGGGUACGGGUUGUGAGAGCAAGAGCCCGGAGAUGGAUUCUGAGACAUGAAUCCAGGCCCUACGGGGCGCAGCAGGCGCGAAAACUUUACAAUGCGGGAAACCGUGAUAAGGGGACACCGAGUGCCAGCAUCCUAUGCUGGCUGUCCGGGUGUGUAAAAUACACCUGUUAGCAAGGGCCGGGCAAGACCGGUGCCAGCCGCCGCGGUAACACCGGCGGCCCGAGUGGUGAUCGUGAUUAUUGGGUCUAAAGGGUCCGUAGCCGGUUUGGUCAGUCCUCCGGGAAAUCUGACAGCUCAACUGUUAGGCUAUCGGAGGAUACUGCCAGACUUGGAACCGGGAGAGGUAAGAGGUACUACAGGGGUAGGAGUGAAAUCUUGUAAUCCCUGUGGGACCACCUGUGGCGAAGGCGUCUUACCAGAACGGGUUCGACGGUGAGGGACGAAAGCUGGGGGCACGAACCGGAUUAGAUACCCGGGUAGUCCCAGCCGUAAACGAUGCUCGCUAGGUGUCAGGCAUGGCGCGACCGUGUCUGGUGCCGCAGGGAAGCUGUGAAGCGAGCCACCUGGGAAGUACGGCCGCAAGGCUGAAACUUAA
rnacentral:rRNA from 1 species